CCUACGGGAGGCAGCAGUGAGGAAUAUUGGUCAAUGGACGGAAGUCUGAACCAGCCAUGCCGCGUGCAGGAAGACGGCUCUAUGAGUUGUAAACUGCUUUUGUACAAAGGUAAACCUGAAUACGUGUAUUCAGCUGAAAGUACUGUACGAAUAAGGAUCGGCUAACUCGGUUACAGCAGCCGAGGUAAUACGGAGUAUCGAAGCGUGAUCCGGAUUUAUUUGGUUUAACGGGUGUGUAGGCGGAUUGAUAAGUUAGAGGUGAAAUGUUCGAGCUUAACUCGGGAACUGCCUCGAAUACUGUUGAUCUAGAGAGUAGAUGCGGUAGGAGGAAUGUAUGGUGUAGCGGUGAAAUGCUUAGAGAUCAUACAGAACACCGAUUGCGAAGGCAGCUUACCAAUCUAUAUCUGACGUUGAGGCACGAAAGCGUGGGGAGCAAACAGGAUUAGAUACCCCAGUAGUC
rnacentral:rRNA from 1 species